AGGAACCGCGCGGUAAUUCCAGCUCCAAUAGCGUAUAUUAAAGUUGUUGCAGUUAAAAAGCUCGUAGUUGAAUUUCGGGGUUAGUAGGUCGGUCGUGCCACUGGUAUGUACUGGUUCUACUGAUCCCUCCUUCUUGUAGGACCGUAAUGCCAUUUACUUGGUGUUGCGGGGAAACAGGACUGUUACUUUGAAAAAAUUAGAGUGUUUAAAGCAAGCUAACGCUUGAAUACAUUAGCAUGGAAUAAUGAAAUAGGACGUUCGAUCCUAUUUUGUUGGUUUCUAGGAUUGACGUAAUGAUUAAUAGGGAUAGUUGGGGGUAUUAGUAUUCAAUUGUCAGAGGUGAAAUUCUUGGAUUUAUUGAAGACUAACUACUGCGAAAGCAUUUGCCAAGGAUGUUUUCAUUAAUCAAGGACGAAAGUUAGGGGAUCGAAGACGAUCAGAUACCGUUGUAGUCUUAACCAUAAACUAUGCCGACUAGGGAUCGGAUGAUGUUAAUUUUUUAAUGACUCAUUCGGCGCCUUACG
rnacentral:rRNA from 1 species